CUUCAAUAAUAAUAAUAACAACAGCAGCAAACAAACCCAUAUAGAGUAUGUGUCUAAACCUGGCACUUUUCUAAAUUCUUUUCAGAUAAUCCCUACAACUUCUGGGAGAGGUGCAAGUAUCAACCAGUUGGAGACACAGGGAAAGGGUGAUAUAAUGCAGAAAGUGACUUGAACAAAUUUACACAGAAGGCAGUGAAGUGUGAUUCAAAUUCAAGCAGUCUAGACUGUGCCCCACACAACUCUGCAGCAUAACCUUGCAGUAUGAAAAUAAUGCCUCUCAUGCAGGUUAUGUCUUCUUUUAUAAGACUACCCACUGCCUCUUCUCAAGUAUAUCUGAAGUAUGGCUGGUUGGAGUAUAUCAGGACCCUCAGAGGAGAAAAGCAUAUAAAACUAGCACACCUGAACCCAGGUAAAUGGAAAGACCCUCAUUAUUAUCUUUACCAGAUAUUGAUACUUUGCAUUAAUUUAGAUUUAACAGACUACUAAGGGCUUUGUCUCCCCACCUAAAUCUCAUCUUGAAUUUAAUCCCCAUAAUCCUCAUAAUCUCCACAUGUCAAGGGAGAGACCAGGUGGAGAUAAUUGAAUCAUGGGGGUGGUAUCCCC
rnacentral:lncRNA from 1 species